AGAGUUUGAUCCUGCUCAGAGUGAACGCUGGCGGCAGGCCUAAUACAUGCAAGUCGAACGGCAGCACAGCAGAGCUUGCUCUGUGGGUGGCGAGUGGCGGACGGGUGAGGAAUACAUGGGAAUCUGCCCAGUCGUGGGGGAUAACGUAUGGAAACGUACGCUAAUACCGCAUGCGCCCUUUGGGGGAAAGCCGGGGACCUUCGGGCCUGGCGCGAUUGGAUGAGCCCAUGUUCGAUUAGCUAGUUGGCGGGGUAAAGGCCCACCAAGGCGACGAUCGAUAGCUGGUCUGAGAGGAUGAUCAGCCACACUGGGACUGAGACACGGCCCAGACUCCUACGGGAGGCAGCAGUAGGGAAUAUUGGACAAUGGGCGCAAGCCUGAUCCAGCCAUGCCGCGUGAGUGAAGAAGGCCCUCGGGUUGUAAAGCUCUUUUGUUGGGGAAGAAAAGCAGUCGGUUAAUACCUGAUUGUUCUGACGGUACCCAAAGAAUA
rnacentral:rRNA from 1 species